UGGCUCAGAUGGUAAAGCGUCUGUCUACAAUGCAGGAGACCCAGGUUCAAUCCCUGG
rnacentral:tRNA from 1 species